rnacentral:rRNA from 1 species
AACGUAGGAGACAAACGUUAUCCGGAGUUACUGGGCGUAAAGGGCGUGUAGGCGGUUAGUUAAGUCUGGCGUGAAAGCUCUCGGCUAAACCGGGAGAGGUCGUUGGAUACUGGCUGACUAGAGGACGGUAGAGGCGUGUGGAAUUCCGGGUGUAGUGGUGGAAUGCGUAGAGAUCCGGAGGAACACCAGCGGCGAAGGCGGCAUCCUGGACUGGUCCUGACACUCAGGAGCGAAAGCGUGGGGAGCGAUCCGG